AUUGAACGCUGGCGGCAUGCCUUACACAUGCAAGUCGAACGGUAACAGGUCUUCGGAUGCUGACGAGUGGCGAACGGGUGAGUAAUACAUCGGAACGUGCCUAGUAGUGGGGGAUAACUACUCGAAAGAGUGGCUAAUACCGCAUGAGAUCUACGGAUGAAAGCAGGGGAUCGCAAGACCUUGUGCUACUAGAGCGGCCGAUGGCAGAUUAGGUAGUUGGUGGGAUAAAAGCUUACCAAGCCGACGAUCAGUAGCUGGUCUGAGAGGACGAUCGGCCCCGGGGGGACUGGGACCCGGCCCAGACUCCUACGGGGGGCAGCAGUGGGGAAGUGUGGAGAAUGGGCGGAAGCCUGAGCCAGCAAUGCCGCGUGCAGGAUGAAGGCCUUCGGGUUGUAAACUGCUUUUGUACGGAACGAAAAGCCCCGGGUUAAUACCCUGGGGUCAUGACGGUACCGUAAGAAUAAGCACCGGCUAACUACGUGCCAGCCGCCGCCGUAA
rnacentral:rRNA from 1 species